AUUGAACGCUGGCGGCAUGCUUUACAUAUGCCAGUCGAACGGCAGCGCGGGCUUCGGCCUGGCGGCGAGUGGCGAACGGGUGAGUAAUACAUCGGAACGUGCCCAGUAGUGGGGGAUAGCUCGGCGAAAGCCGGAUUAAUACCGCAUACGACCUGAGGGUGAAAGCGGGGGAUCUUCGGACCUCGCGCUAUUGGAGCGGCCGAUGGCAGAUUAGCUAGUUGGUGGGGUAAAGGCCUACCAAGGCGACGAUCGGUAGCUGGUCUGAGAGGACGACCAGCCACACUGGGACUGAGACACGGCCCAGACUCCUACGGGAGGCAGCAGUGGGGAAUUUUGGACAAUGGGCGAAAGCCUGAUCCAGCAAUGCCGCGUGUGUGAUGAAGGCCUUCGGGUUGUAAAGCACUUUUGGCGGGAACGAAAAGGACUGUGCCAAUACCACGGUUCGAUGACGGUACCCGCAGAAUAAGCACCGGCUAACUACGUG
rnacentral:rRNA from 1 species